UUUCCCUACGGGGGGCAGCAGUGAGGAAUAUUGGUCAAUGGGCGAGAGCCUGAACCAGCCAAGUCGCGUGAGGGACGACGGCCCUACGGGUUGUAAACCUCUUUUGCCGGGGGACAAACGGCGGCACGCGUGCCGUCCUGAGGGUACCCGGAGAAAAAGCAUCGGCUAACUGCGUGCCAGCAGCCGCGGUAAUACGGAGGAUGCGAGCGUUAUCCGGAUUUAUUGGGUUUAAAGGGUGCGUAGGCGGAAUGCCAAGUCAGCGGUAAAAUCGCGGGGCUCAACCUCGCUCCGCCGUUGAAACUGGG
rnacentral:rRNA from 1 species